GGAGGGCAGAUGGGGGUGAGGGACAGGGUCUGCACCACAGGGCAGUACUGCUUUCCAGUACAGACCACAGUCCACCAGUGCUACUACAAUGAGAACAAUUGCUGACUCAUCGCUCUCCAUCACUUCUUGUAGCAAGUGGUUGUCCUAUCCCCAGUGCAUCACUAUUCUACUCUGUGUGUGUUGACCUGAACACACUCACAAGACUUGGGAAAGCCUCAAAGCAGCACAGGAAAGGUCAUAAAAGUCAUCUACAGCAGAGAGCACACACUUCUUGUCACAGAAAAACAGAUGCUGCAUGGAUAGAGGCUGGAGAAGCCACCUGCUCACUUUGCUGUGAUGCUUCAGCCUUCAGGCUAGAAAAGCCACUUCCAGAAGAUGGGAGAAAAUUUAGUCACCUUGGGACAGGAGAGCCCAUCAAGUCCAUGUAAGCCGGAGUCGAACAAACCUCAGGAAGAGAGGGUGGCAUCAGAUGCCAAGAUAUAAACUCUGAGCUUAGUCCUAGACCUACUAAGCUUUCUUGGCUUUUAAUAAAUCUUUAACCCAAAGCCAGUGGUUCAUUUCCACUUUGUAAAUGUUAAUUUUCAGGUCAAAGGGAACAUAGAAGUGCAUGAUUUAAUUGCACACUGUUUUAUUUCAUGCUCCAUCUCCUAGUCAAAAGAAAUGACUGCUUUGGGUUCACACACAGCACUGACUUCUGUUCAGUUAUAUAGCCAAGAAAGAAGCUGGAUUUUUAUUUAUGUGCUUGUGCUGCAUUUGAUAUCUUGAGAGAAGGCUGUGCUGAGGAGGAAUUUGCCUGCACAUUUUCAUUAGGUAUGGAGCCAGAGUUUCUUAACAUUGACAAGCCCAAGGGGCACAACAAAAUCUAUCUCAAUGAAAUAAUUUCAAAGCAGGAAAAAGAAAAUAUGCCUGUACUUCAUGUUAUUUGCAGUAAAGAUUGGCUAAGAAACUGAACUGACAAAGAUAGAAUUUGUGGUCUCUUUGAAGAGCACACAUAGCUUCAAUAAUCUAAACCAGCUUCCUUCUAAGUAUUCUGGGGGACUUUUCCUCAGAGCUGUAUUAAAGAACAUCUUUCAGAAAACUAAUUCUACUCUGAAAAAAAUCAAUGACAAAUGUGCUUUCUUCUACUGUUUCCAGGUGUCAUCACUCUCACUGUUAGGAAACUACAUCUACUUUCAAGAUCUGUUCAGAGUCUUGUUCUGGGAAUCGCAGUUUAGUUCCCACACCACAUUCCUAUCACUACAUUGAAAAUACAUGCAUUUGAAUGGUGGAGUAUUUGGUGGAUACAGAAUUGGUUGGAUGGCCAGAGCCAGAGGAUUAUGGUCAAUGGCUCUAUGGUCCAGGUGGAGGCCAGUGAUAAGUGGUGUCCUCCAGGGGUCAGCCUGGAGAUAACGCUCUUCAACAUCUUUAUGAAUCACAUAGGCAGAGGGAUUGAGUACAGCUUCAACAAAUUUUCAGAUGACACCAAGAUGAGUAGCACAGCUGACACAAUAGAAGGGAAGAAUGCUGUCCAGAGAGACCUGGACAAGCUUGAACAGUGCAUCCAACUGAAUUUAAAUGAGGUGCAACAAGGUCAAGUGCAAGGUAUUGCACUUGGGUCAGGGCAGUCCCAGAUAUGUGUAAAAACUGAAAAUAACUCCUUGACAGCAAUCCUGAUGAAAAGGGCUUGGGGAUUCUAGUGAAUGAAAAACUUGAUACAAGCCAAGUGUAUAUUUGCAGCUCAAAAGGCCAACAGUAUCUGAGACUGCAUCAAAAGAGGGGUGGCCAGCAGGAUGAGGGAGGUGACUUUUUCUGCUCUGCCUUUGUGAC